rnacentral:lncRNA from 1 species
GUUCCACUAUAGAAUCACCGUAAAUAACAAAACUAUAAAAACUCGUUUUAAAACACUUUACAUAAACAAACAGCAAAAUUAUAACUUGACAACUUUUCUUUAUCUCAUUAUACCUAAUUUCACCAAAAAUUUUAACUAUUAUUGCAAUAACAUCUUUCAGCGUUGAAUGUUGCAGACUUAAAAUCAUAGAGAGAGUCCUGAUGACAUAAUAAAAGUUUCCAAUUACCCAGGCAUGUGUUUUGCGAUGAAUGUGUGAUCGUUGAAUAUAUGAAGUUUUGUGCCUUUUUUCCGCCAUUUGCUCUUUUGUGCAAGAGACAAGGGUACGAGGUAGUGUCUGAAAUGUGAUAAAAUGUCACAAUGAUGAACUACUCUUAUUACAAAACUAUUUAAGGUCAUUUUUUCCACUCCCCAGAAUACUUGCUUUUUAAUUCCAUUUUCUAGAGUCUCUAGCACCAGAGUCGACGCUUCAUUGAUGUAUGUUCUGGUCGACGUUCCACUUAUCGCAGAUGCCUCGCUGAGACUCGACCUUCUCGAGAGUUCCUCUUUUCCUGGUACACAAGCUAUUCAAAAGAGAUAUCCAAAGGAAUAAGGAAACAAGGAUAAAGCCUCACCGGAUCCUGGAUCCCUCGCUCUGUCAGCGGAUAUCGAUCUUGAGUGCGCUUCCUCGUGAUUCGUGUCACCUUCGGGACCAGCUGAUCGACUUCUCGUUUUUGAUCUACCAAGACGUCGCUUUAUCGUGCCGAAAAAGUCUCGCCGUUUCCUCCUCGUUCUUCCACGUUCUGCGAAACACAAAUUACCAGUAGAAAGGACGAUUGGAGCAUUGGAAAAGUCUCAAGGAUAUCGAUUAACUUGCAUUUUUCAUUUCAUUUUUACAUUAGGGAGAAAUGAUCCGUGCAAUUUCACUCUGCGAAGCUAUAAAUUUGAAGUAGUGAGCGAAAAAGAAAUCAAGCUUCGAUAUUCACCUCUCAUGCUUUCAGAAUUUGAUGAAUUAGGCGUGCUUUCCGGUCCUGAUGUGGCGCUUGUAUCCCUGUUCCCAUGCUACAAAAAGACCAAAAUAACGAUUUAAAAUCAAAGCAUAAUUUGUCAGAAAAUAAUCAACUCGAGGAGCUAUGAACGAGUUUAACUUCGACACCAGCAGAAUAUUGAAAAAAUGUGAUUGGACGAAAAAUCUUUCGAAUAUUUUCUGCACUUUCCAAUAUUCGAAUCUCUUUUUCCUCAAUUGACUUUCUGAGAAGUACAAUUUAUUGCACAUUAUUUUAUUCGUUAUCAAAAAAUUCGUAUGGUUCCAAGUCUUUUAGUGUACAAAGGAACAAAAACCUACGAGGAAAAAUAAGGUCACGAGUUCUAAGUUUGAGAAUUGCAAUCAAGUUUUUGAAGGAACGAUAAAAAAGGAAUUACCUCUGGCGAAAUUUCCUGCCAACUUCCAUUGUGCGAUAGAGCGACCUGUUGGAUUAGUAAACACACGGCAUUCACGACAUGUUAAUGCGAGUAAGGGAAAAUGAAGAAGAAUUGUGAGUGUAUUUUUCUAGUUUUCGAGCGAUCUUGAAAUUCUGGAAUUGAGCCAAUAAUCGUGGACGGAUAGCAAAUCUUUUCUCUCUGUCCCCGAAAGUGCCAACGUACAAAUUGUUUUUAUUCGGUUGUAAUGCAACGAUACACCGUGCUCGUAUAAACUUUGCUGCAACGUUUCAAACUUUUUGUCUCAUAAAACAAAGAUUCUCCGCACUGCAGUUCAGAACAGAAAAGUUCAGCAAAAUUCCAAUUUUUUAAAUUUCUUGUCACUUUUAAAUUCUUACCUUUACUACCUGUCGUUCCGAUUGCUAAAAAAAAAUCACAGCAAUUCACAAAUUAAUAAAAAAAAAAAAUGAAAAAUUCAGGUAAACUUGUAUGAAUUGUAAAAUCGCACCUCAAAAUUCACACGGAAAAGGGAAAAGUGCGAGGAAAAAAAACUCAAUCUCACCCUCUGUUGACUGUGAACGAUGAGAGUUCCUUUAUUCCCGUUCGUUUGACCGGUUCGAUAAGGCGAUUCCUCGGUAUUGCCGUUUGUUAAAAAGUCUGAAAAAAAAUCGUGUGGAGUAACGAACUGAUCAUUCGUCAUACGUGCCCUCGAUCAUAUAAAUUUUUCCUCGUUACUGAGUCAUAGUGAGAAAGAAAUAAAAGUCACGAAAGUGGACGAAAUAACGAAAAAUAAAUUUUUCAAGAAUUUUCUUUGCAAUACCCGGGUCGGCUUUCCCCGCAAUCAAAAUGAUUGCUCGAGACUUCGAUCCAUGGGGAAAAGGACGAAUUUCAAGAAUUUUUGUGAACAUUAUUUCCGUCCAGUUUCGAAUAAUCCUUCGAAAAACGCUCCCAAAUAUAAAGUAAAGUUCAAUCCGUUAUGAUGCGAAAAACCUAAUUCUCACUGAGCAAAUCAGCGGGGUAGGAAGGCGAAAGAAAAUCGAAUUCGCCAGAAAUCAUUAAAAUGGAAAUGAAAAAGCUUUGGGACGUGAAAUCAUGCUGUCAACCAUUCGGAAAUCUAUAGGUUUCUAAUAUUCAUGAAAAAAUCCCGGGUAGUGUAAAACGCCAAAUUUCUCGUUAUUAGCUUCCAGCGACUUGUUGUUGUUUUCAUACUCUUGUUUCCAUAAAAGUUUGGUUUCGGCUUUUUUUUUGAAUAUUUUAUAGAAGGAACGUGCCCUACGAGACUAGAGGUUCCACGCAGGGAUAAUCAAUACGUUCCAGAUAUGUAAUAAACGUUAAUUACCGCCGGCAGAUUGACUGGUAGAGUCGUACAAGAUAAGUGUGCUGUUACCAUUGUUAUAAUUUAGGCUACUAUUGCUGAGUAGAUUGGUCGGGCUGUAUGUUCGUGUUGGUGAUAACGGCUUUAUGGAUUCCUUAACUUUGAAAGGUUUCGAGCCGAUUUGGGGUACUUCGGCGCCCUCGAUGAACAGAAACUGCAAAUAAUCAAAUUGUUAAAAAUAUAUUUUCAGAUAAAUGGCGUCAAACUUUCGGGCUCAUCAAUGUUUUUUCAUUGAAUUGUGAAAAUGUCAUCCGAAGAUCUGGUCGAUUUUGAAAAUCCAAUAAACAGGAUUCGUCGGGAAGGAUAAUUGAAUGAAAAAAGUGAAGCAAAUGGUAACCUCGACUGUCAGAGUUCCAGUAACUUCGUCCGCCUCGUACGGACGAGCCUGAAGUGGAAUAAUUUGUCUCUGGCUCGGAUUAGCGAGAAGUUCCUCUACCCCGACGAUACCGAGGCCCAAAAAUCUUUGAGCCUUAUUCACGUGAUCGUAAAUUUCCAAUAAGACCUCGGACGUGUUGUGGCUGAUGUCGCUGAAAAUUGUUUCAAAGCGUGGUGGCUCAUCCAACUCGACGACGCAGUAUGGUUCGCGACAACCCUCUGCACCCCCCAAUUCAGCAGCCUUAACGACCUUGACGAGGAGACGUCUUUCCCCGGGUGCGUAUUGAUGGAUCGUGGAGGCCGAUGAAUGGCACGAACGAGCCAAUUUGUUUUCGGACAAAGCAAAAUCCGACAGUCAAAGGCAGCGAUGCUUGUCUUUCUGUCGAUUUGAGAAGCGCCAGAAGCUGCGUUGGGGUGAUUUUUACUCCGUUGCGGAGUCCACGACAACAUUUCAUGCAUUCAUCAUUCACUCGAAGAAAAAAUACUCAAAGAUCAGCGUGUUACACGGGCUACUUCAGCAGCGAAAGCCUCAACAGAGUUUCUGAGCUUCCUGCACUAUAGAAGUCUGCGAAGGGAAUCAUAUCGAUAGUCUAACGGAUUCGGAAUUAAAAGAGGACGUAAACCUUUGGAAAUGUCGGAUCCCACCCUGAGUCAGAGAAGUUGUCUAGAUAAGUAGAUGUUGUCAAGGCCAAAUGAUCCGAUUCACUCUGUGGAGAGCAUAGGGAAAAAGCCCUCUGCAGACUAAGCAGGAGCAAUCAAAAUUGUUUCUUUAUGAUUCUCCAAAACUUUCUUUGAUUUAACUGCUUUAUGAAAAAAUAUUUGAAGAAAGGACUUUGUGUUGUACAUGGAUUCGGUCACAUCUGGCAGAUUUUCCACGUAUCCCAACAUUCUUUCUGAGGCCCAAUCAGCUAUUUCAUUUUUUUCAGAUAGCCUCUUUUGGAAACCACGCUCACUUUUCCCGAGUCGGUAGAUUUUUCGGUAAAAACUUUUUUCCUUUUUUUUCUACUCAUUUCGAGAUGAAAUCUUUACCAAAUGGGAUCUCAUUACAUUGGGCAUCUCAUUACAUUCUCGUCCUUCGUUAUAAAAAAUGGAAGAGCACCGUGUACAUCUAAUCGUAAUUGUCGCAUACAAGUAAUAUUUUAUGCAACUACAAAAAUCAAGAUAGUUAUUUACAACAAUAAAGGGGCGGGGGGUCGCGUUCGAAAUAAAAAUUGAUCGUGGGGCUCUAGGGUUAGCUACUCUUCCUCAUAGUUAAGCCAUCUUAUACAUAACAUUUAUUUAUUAUUCAAAAAUGUCUACAACGUUUAGAAAUUGUGUUGAAAAUUCGAGAGAUUUGUGUUAUGUCGAGAAGAAUGAUGUGAAAGUUUGA